GCCCAGCGCUAAAUCUGCCGAUUUCAAAAAUUGGUCAGAAAUGUGGCGUAUAGGUGUGAUUGAUUUGGUUCGUGCGUUUUUUCGUUCACCCUAAGUCCUCCUUGAUUGGGGCCACGGUCCAUAGAAGGUGCUAGACCUGUUCGGGUGGUGAAGCGUACGGGACCCGGUCACACUUUAGAGUCGAGUUGCCUGGGAUCGCAGCUCAAAGAAGGUGGUAGACUUCAUCUAAGGCUAAAUAUGGCCACGAGACCGAUAGCGAACAAGUACCGUGAGGGAAAGUUGAAAAGAACUGUGAAGAGAGAGUUAAAGAGGACGUGAAACCGCUGAGAUUGAAGCGGAUAGAGUUGACGAAACUUUGAUCAACAUUCAACCGAUUCAACGAAUAUCGUACGUUUGGCUUCAUGUACGCGACGAUACUCGCCCCUGACGUGUGUGUAUUUACGUAUGCAUGCGGCUGAGGCGUCGGUGUUCCGAAACGACAUGGCUACGUUUGCGAUUUGCUAACAAUUCGUUGUACGUGCGUGCGCGUGUGAAAAAAUCGGUGAUUUUGUUGAUGGUAUGCGUCGAGUGGCUUGUCAUAGUGUAUCAUUGCGUGAAGUGGAUAGCAGAUCAUCGUCGAUGAUUUUUGCAUAUCAUACUGAUUGAAUGAAUCUUGUCCUGCUUCAAUAAUUGCGCAAUUUUGAUAUCACAGAGAUAAGUUUAUGCUGUGUGUGGCAACUCGAUGUGAACGUCGAUCACCUAUCCGACCCGUCUUGAAACACGGACCAAGGAGUCUAGCACAUACGCGAGUCAAUGGGUAUAUCGAAAACCUAUAGGCGUAAUGAAAGUGAAAUAUGGUUGUGUCGUGCCGUUUGGCGCGCCAACGAUUGAUGUGCGAUUUGUUGAAGUCGGCGGCGGCUCGCGCUGCCUGCUUGGCAACAACGACGCAGCAUAGCCCCGUUUAUGUUGUCAGCCUUUAAUCGGGCUCACAACUGAUCGGAGGAAGAGCGUAUGCGCUGGUACCCGAAAGAUGGUGAACUAUGCCUGAGCAGGAUGAAGCCAGAGGAAACUCUGGUGGAAGUCCGAAGCGGUUCUGACGUGCAAAUC
rnacentral:rRNA from 1 species